UCCUUCCCCGCCACCGGCUG
rnacentral:misc_RNA from 1 species